GACCUCGUAGUUCAUGUAGUUAGAGCGUUAGUUUGCUGAAGCCUUCCCCUUGCUGUUGUGGGUUCGAAUCCCAUUGAGGCCA
rnacentral:tRNA from 1 species